rnacentral:lncRNA from 1 species
AAGAGACCAACCCAAAUGUAUUUAUGGUCAAUUCAAAUGGAGUCCGAAUAUUCCAAUGCAGUCCUAAUUUUCUCCUAACUCUUUUUUAUUAAAUGGUAAAAUAGAAUAAUAAAUAAUGCUAUGAAUUAUAUAAUUGAUCAACCAAUAAAUUAGCCUCACAACACAACAUUACUCGAGAGUUGAGAUGAAAUUAUUGGUAUAUUACUUUAGAACAUAAAUACACUCAUGCUAGUAAUCAUCAAAUAAAAAAUAAGAAAAAAAAAUAGUAUAUUCUUAUUAUUAGUAACAAGGAACUAAUAAGAAUACGAGGAGCAUACAUAUUUUGAUUUUCCAAAAAGAAUAAUUUAAUUUCCGAGGAUGUUGGUCAGCAGUUACUCUCAUUGCUGAAAACACGCAAAUCGUAUUUAUGAGAUUGGUUUGGUUUUCCAUUAUAAGUAGUUUAAUAUCAUAAUCCCGUUGGUUAGUGUGGUACUUGUUGGGCAGCACCGACUGCCGGUCUCAAGCGAUGGGUUAAUUUAAUUCAUGACUAACAAAAGUCAAAUCAUUAUUCUAAAGACAGAUGCGUGUAAUUUUUUAAUACGGUUUUAGUUAUCUUAUAUGAUCAUAUA